AUCGCUUCUUUGAUCCUGUUGGCUAAGAUCAAGUGUAGUAUCUGUUCUUAUCAGUUUAAUAUCUGAUUUUAAAGAAAAGAAUGACUUUGUAGCCAGGUGCAGUGGCUCACUCCUGUAAUCCCAGUGCUUUGGAAGGCUGAAGUGGGAGGAUUGCUUGAGGCCAGGAGUUCCAGACUAGCCUGGGCAACAUAG
rnacentral:snRNA from 1 species